UCUGGUGACGAUAUCGGAGGGGGUACACCCGUUCCCAUCCCGAACACGGUAGUUAAGCCCUCCAGAGCCGAUGGUACUUGGGGCGAAGGCCCCCGGGAGAGUAGGUCGUCGCCAGAUUAA
rnacentral:rRNA from 1 species